rnacentral:miRNA from 14 species
UGUCUGUGUGUGUGUGUGUGUGUGUGUGUGUGUGUGNCACACACACACACACACACACACACACACACACACAAACACA